AUUGAAAGAGAACACUGCACACAGACAUACAUGUACGUGCCCCAAAAGCUCAGGCUUUCUACCCAUUCUAUAGUUCCAUUUUUUUUUCUGUAUUAGUGAGAGUCCUUUAUUUAAUCUUGAGGACCAUAUAGAUGGCAUUAUUAUCUCAAGGAUCUAUGCAGAAAAGACCUGGCAUGUGAAACCUUGCUACUGACAGCUAUUCGCAAAAACUUUCUGAAAGUGCUUGAGGAUGAGUUGACUUAUCUGUCAGCAACUUCAACUUACUUGGAAUUGGAUUUGCUUCCCUCUGUGUGUUGCAGUCCUGUGGCAUUAUGCAUGCCCCCUCCCAGUGACCCCAGGCUUUUUAUGGCUGUGAGACACGUUAAAAUUUCAGGACAGGAUAUUGCUGUGUUGCCCAGGCUGGAGUGCCGUGGCACGAUUAUAGCUCACUGUAAUUUCGAACUCCUGGGCUCAAGUGAUCCUCCCACCUCAGCCUCUGUUGUAGCUGGGACUACAGGGUAAGACGUGACCUUUUGAGGUGACUAUAACUGAAGAUUGCUUUA
rnacentral:sRNA from 1 species